rnacentral:rRNA from 1 species
CAAUAGCGUAUAUUUAAGUUGCUGCAGUUAAAAAGCUCGUAGUUGGAUUUCGGGUGGGAAUGGCCGGUCCGCCGUUUCGGUGUGCACUUGCUACGCCCACCUUGCUGCCGGGGACGUGCUCUUGAGUUCACGCUCGGGACACGGAGUCGGCGAGGUUACUUUGAGUAAAUUAGAGUGUUCAAAGCAGGCCUACGCUCUGAAUACAUUAGCAUGGAAUAACACGAUAGGACUCUGGCCUAUCUUGUUGGUCUGUAGGACCGGAGUAAUGAUUAAGAGGGACAGUCGGGGGCAUUCGUAUUUCAUUGUCAGAGGUGAAAUUCUUGGAUUUAUGCAAGACGAACUACUGCGAAAGCAUUUGCCAAGGAUGUUUUCAUUAA